ACGCGAUAAACCUUACCUGGUCUUGACAUAGUGAGAAUCUCUCAGAGAUGAGAGAGUGCCUUCGGGAACUCACAUACAGGUGCUGCAUGGCUGUCGUCAGCUCGUGUCGUGAGAUGUUGGGUUAAGUCCCCGCAACGAGCGCAACCCUUUUCCUUAUUUGCCAGCGGGUUAAGCCGGGAACUUUAAGGAUACUGCCAGUGACAAACUGGAGGAAGGCGGGGACGACGUCAAGUCAUCAUGGCCCUUACGA
rnacentral:rRNA from 1 species